AUUAGUAUACCAUAGUGUGGAAGUGGCUGGCGUUUGUAGGCAUGCCUUUAGUUGCGACCACUAUUCAUUCACCGUUCCACAAAUGUGAUAUAUGCAUACUUCUCUAACUAUCUUUUAGGGUAUGUGAAUGUGUAUGAGUGUAUUUUUGUUAAUAGGCACUUCGCUAAACAGUCGACUUAGAACUGGCACGGACUCGGGGAAUCCGACUGUCUAAUUAAAAUAGAGGAGACAGACGGUCCUUGUUGUGGACGUUGACUGUCUCUGAUUUCUGCCCAGUGCUCUGAAUGUAAAAGUGAAGAAAUUCAACUAAGCGCGGGUAAACGGCGGGAGUAACUAUGACUCUCUUAAGGCAGCCAAACGCCUCAUCUAACUAAGGACGCGCAUGAAUGGAUUAACGAGAUUCCCACUG
rnacentral:ncRNA from 1 species